rnacentral:rRNA from 1 species
AGCGUACACGGUGGAUGCCCUGGCAGUCAGAGGCGAUGAAGGACGUGCUAAUCUGCGAUAAGCGUCGGUAAGGUGAUAUGAACCGUUAUAACCGGCGAUUUCCGAAUGGGGAAACCCAGUGUGUUUCGACACACUAUCAUUAACUGAAUCCAUAGGUUAAUGAGGCGAACCGGGGGAACUGAAACAUCUAAGUACCCCGAGGAAAAGAAAUCAACCGAGAUUCCCCCAGUAGCGGCGAGCGAACGGGGAGCAGCCCAGAGCCUGAAUCAGUGUGUGUGUUAGUGGAAGCGUCUGGAAAGGCGCGCGAUACAGGGUGACAGCCCCGUACACAAAAAUGCACAUGCUGUGAGCUCGAUGAGUAGGGCGGGACACGUGGUAUCCUGUCUGAAUAUGGGGGGACCAUCCUCCAAGGCUAAAUACUCCUGACUGACCGAUAGUGAACCAGUACCGUGAGGGAAAGGCGAAAAGAACCCCGGCGAGGGGAGUGAAAAAGAACCUGAAACCGUGUACGUACAAGCAGUGGGAGCACGCUUAGGCGUGUGACUGCGUACCUUUUGUAUAAUGGGUCAGCGACUUAUAUUCUGUAGCAAGGUUAACCGAAUAGGGGAGCCGAAGGGAAACCGAGUCUUAACUGGGCGUUAAGUUGCAGGGUAUAGACCCGAAACCCGGUGAUCUAGCCAUGGGCAGGUUGAAGGUUGGGUAACACUAACUGGAGGACCGAACCGACUAAUGUUGAAAAAUUAGCGGAUGACUUGUGGCUGGGGGUGAAAGGCCAAUCAAACCGGGAGAUAGCUGGUUCUCCCCGAAAGCUAUUUAGGUAGCGCCUCGUGAAUUCAUCUCCGGGGGUAGAGCACUGUUUCGGCAAGGGGGUCAUCCCGACUUACCAACCCGAUGCAAACUGCGAAUACCGGAGAAUGUUAUCACGGGAGACACACGGCGGGUGCUAACGUCCGUCGUGAAGAGGGAAACAACCCAGACCGCCAGCUAAGGUCCCAAAGUCAUGGUUAAGUGGGAAACGAUGUGGGAAGGCCCAGACAGCCAGGAUGUUGGCUUAGAAGCAGCCAUCAUUUAAAGAAAGCGUAAUAGCUCACUGGUCGAGUCGGCCUGCGCGGAAGAUGUAACGGGGCUAAACCAUGCACCGAAGCUGCGGCAGCGACGCUUAUGCGUUGUUGGGUAGGGGAGCGUUCUGUAAGCCUGCGAAGGUGUGCUGUGAGGCAUGCUGGAGGUAUCAGAAGUGCGAAUGCUGACAUAAGUAACGAUAAAGCGGGUGAAAAGCCCGCUCGCCGGAAGACCAAGGGUUCCUGUCCAACGUUAAUCGGGGCAGGGUGAGUCGACCCCUAAGGCGAGGCCGAAAGGCGUAGUCGAUGGGAAACAGGUUAAUAUUCCUGUACUUGGUGUUACUGCGAAGGGGGGACGGAGAAGGCUAUGUUGGCCGGGCGACGGUUGUCCCGGUUUAAGCGUGUAGGCUGGUUUUCCAGGCAAAUCCGGAAAAUCAAGGCUGAGGCGUGAUGACGAGGCACUACGGUGCUGAAGCAACAAAUGCCCUGCUUCCAGGAAAAGCCUCUAAGCAUCAGGUAACAUCAAAUCGUACCCCAAACCGACACAGGUGGUCAGGUAGAGAAUACCAAGGCGCUUGAGAGAACUCGGGUGAAGGAACUAGGCAAAAUGGUGCCGUAACUUCGGGAGAAGGCACGCUGAUAUGUAGGUGAAGCGACUUGCUCGUGGAGCUGAAAUCAGUCGAAGAUACCAGCUGGCUGCAACUGUUUAUUAAAAACACAGCACUGUGCAAACACGAAAGUGGACGUAUACGGUGUGACGCCUGCCCGGUGCCGGAAGGUUAAUUGAUGGGGUUAGCCGCAAGGCGAAGCUCUUGAUCGAAGCCCCGGUAAACGGCGGCCGUAACUAUAACGGUCCUAAGGUAGCGAAAUUCCUUGUCGGGUAAGUUCCGACCUGCACGAAUGGCGUAAUGAUGGCCAGGCUGUCUCCACCCGAGACUCAGUGAAAUUGAACUCGCUGUGAAGAUGCAGUGUACCCGCGGCAAGACGGAAAGACCCCGUGAACCUUUACUAUAGCUUGACACUGAACAUUGAGCCUUGAUGUGUAGGAUAGGUGGGAGGCUUAGAAGUGUGGACGCCAGUCUGCAUGGAGCCGACCUUGAAAUACCACCCUUUAAUGUUUGAUGUUCUAACGUUGACCCGUAAUCCGGGUUGCGGACAGUGUCUGGUGGGUAGUUUGACUGGGGCGGUCUCCUCCUAAAGAGUAACGGAGGAGCACGAAGGUUGGCUAAUCCUGGUCGGACAUCAGGAGGUUAGUGCAAUGGCAUAAGCCAGCUUGACUGCGAGCGUGACGGCGCGAGCAGGUGCGAAAGCAGGUCAUAGUGAUCCGGUGGUUCUGAAUGGAAGGGCCAUCGCUCAACGGAUAAAAGGUACUCCGGGGAUAACAGGCUGAUACCGCCCAAGAGUUCAUAUCGACGGCGGUGUUUGGCACCUCGAUGUCGGCUCAUCACAUCCUGGGGCUGAAGUAGGUCCCAAGGGUAUGGCUGUUCGCCAUUUAAAGUGGUACGCGAGCUGGGUUUAGAACGUCGUGAGACAGUUCGGUCCCUAUCUGCCGUGGGCGCUGGAGAACUGAGGGGGGCUGCUCCUAGUACGAGAGGACCGGAGUGGACGCAUCACUGGUGUUCGGGUUGUCAUGCCAAUGGCACUGCCCGGUAGCUAAAUGCGGAAGAGAUAAGUGCUGAAAGCAUCUAAGCACGAAACUUGCCCCGAGAUGAGUUCUCCCUGACUCCUUGA